rnacentral:rRNA from 1 species
CAGCAGCCGCGGGAAUACGUAGGGUGCGAGCGUUAAUCGGAAUUACUGGGCGUAAAGCGUGCGCAGGCGGUUUUGUAAGACAGGCGUGAAAUCCCCGGGCUCAACCUGGGAAUGGCGCUUGUGACUGCAAAGCUAGAGUGCGGCAGAGGGGGAUGGAAUUCCGCGUGUAGCAGUGAAAUGCGUAGAGAUGUGGAGGAACACCGAUGGCGAAGGCAGCCCCCUGGGCCAAUACUGACGCUCAUGCACGAAAGCGUGGGGAGCAAAUGGGAUUAGAUACCCCCGUAGUCCCUGUCUCUUAUAC